GAUGAACGCUGGCGGCGUGCCUAAUACAUGCAAGUCGAGCGAACAGAUGAGGAGCUUGCUCCUCUGACGUUAGCGGCGGACGGGUGAGUAACACGUGGAUAACCUACCUAUAAGACUGGGAUAACUUCGGGAAACCGGAGCUAAUACCGGAUAAUAUAUUGAACCGCAUGGUUCAAUAGUGAAAGACGGUUUUGCUGUCACUUAUAGAUGGAUCCGCGCCGCAUUAGCUAGUUGGUAAGGUAACGGCUUACCAAGGCGACGAUGCGUAGCCGACCUGAGAGGGUGAUCGGCCACACUGGAACUGAGACACGGUCCAGACUCCUACGGGAGGCAGCAGUAGGGAAUCUUCCGCAAUGGGCGAAAGCUUGACGGAGCAACGCCGCGUGAGUGAUGAAGGUCUUCGGAUCGUAAAACUCUGCUAUUAGGGAAGAACAAAUGUGUAAGUAACUAUGCACGUCUUGACGGUACCUAAUCAGAAAGCCACGGCUAACUACGUG
rnacentral:rRNA from 1 species